rnacentral:misc_RNA from 1 species
UGGCUCUCGCAUCGAUGAAGAACGUAGCGAAGUGCGAUAUGUAGUGUGAAUUGCAGAAUUCCGUGAAUCAUCGAAUUUUUGAACGCAAAUUGCACUCUCCGGUUUUCCGGGAGAGUAUGCCUGUUUGAGGGUCAGCCUAAAAAAAAUCGACAUUGUUGCUGUUUUAUGGUGACUUUAGUCAGAGAUUGGGUUAUCUUAAACCUUUAGAGGUUUAAGCGACUUUAAAUUUUUUUUUACGAUUUCAAGAACGUUUUUAAGAUUUUCUUGUACGUUCAAGGUAUCGAAUGUCUUAUUAGACAUGGCCGUCAUAUCGGAUCAUGUCCAUAAUUUUUUCAUUAACUGACCUCAGACAGGUAAGAGUACCCGCUGA